GGUUUCCUAGUUUAGUCGAUUAUUACGUCGGGCCAACGCACUGGUGGUCUCUGGUUCGAGCCCGGCCGAAAUCA